AUUUUUAACCCCGGAGGGUUAGCCACCCAGGAUAACCCAAGGAAGUCAGUGUGUCAUCGGGGACUGCAACUUAUUUCCAUUGUAGUCUGACUCAAUCUUGUCCCCCAGGAUGCGACCCACACCAGUCGACUAACACCCAGGUCAUUGGCGCCAUUUAGCCAUGGAGGUCAAGACUAGUGGCGCCACUUGUCACUCCUCUACCAUCCACCACACCAUCAACACCUCCAGCUCUUCCAAUUCCAUCAAUCUGUGACAUUGUUUUGGUGUGUUGCUGCUGGUGAUAUCUGAAGGCUUUCAGCUGCCCACAACAUGGACGUCGCCACACAGCAGCUGCCCACAACAUGGACGUCGCCACACAGCAGCUGCCCACAACAUGGACGUCGCCACACAG